rnacentral:rRNA from 2 species
GUGACCUCAAAUCAGGUAGGACUACCCGCUGAACUUAAGCAUAUCAAUAAGCGGAGGAAAAGAAACUAACAAGGAUUCCCCUAGUAACUGCGAGUGAAGCGGGAAAAGCUCAAAUUUAAAAUCUGGCGGUCUUAUGGCUGUCCGAGUUGUAAUCUAGAGAAGUGUUAUCCGCGCUGGACCGUGUACAAGUCUCCUGGAAUGGAGCAUCAUAGAGGGUGAGAAUCCCGUCUUUGACAUGGACUGCCAGGGCUUUGUGAUGCGCUCUCAAAGAGUCGAGUUGUUUGGGAAUGCAGCUCAAAAUGGGUGGUAAAUUCCAUCUAAAGCUAAAUAUUGGCGAGAGACCGAUAGCGAACAAGUACCGUGAGGVAAAGAUGAAAAGAACUUUGGAAAGAGAGUUAAMCAKUACGUGAAAUUGCUGAAAGGGAAACGCUUGAAGUCAGUCGCGUCAUCCAGGAUUCAACCUUGCUUUUGCUUGGUGCACUUCCUGGUUUGAUGGGUCAGCAUCAAUUUUGACUAUUGGAAAAAGG